rnacentral:lncRNA from 12 species
AGAUGAGCUGCUCUUUGCCACUUGGAUCCAACACAGUGGUGUUUGUGAAGGUCACAAUUCAGUGUUAAAUGUUCAGGAACACGAAUGUGCUGGGGGGCUGCAGCACAACAGAAGGUCAGGGCUUUGCAGAACCACGGACGUGUCUGGGCUGUGACCAGUGGCCACUGCCUUUUUGAAUCAAAUUGCACUUGGCAGCCGUUUCCAUUUCACCCCAUGGUAAAAACUGCUACUCUGAAAACAACCAGUUUGUGCUAAACGAGUCACCACAAGACCUUUGUUUUCUCAUUCCCAGAAGCAAGACAUAAGCCUGACUCAGAAGGUAUUAAUCCGCGUGGGAUAAAGGAGGAAUCCAAUGUUCUGUGUAUGCGGUGUCUGCUUAGCAGUAAAAAAAUCACACUGGGGAUUUCUUCUGGGAACAGUGAUCCACUUCCUAAUGGGAAUCAAUGACGAGCUGUGCGAGGCCUGGUGCAUCUUCACCCCCCCUCCUGCACCAGAUCGAGCAGCGCUGCGAGCCCGCCAUCCCCUCUCCCCCUAGGUGAGAAGGGGGCACCUGCGAGGGCUGGGGGCACCUGAGGAUGCUGGGGGGCACCUGAGGGGGCUGGG